ACAAUACUAAAACAAGAGAUCAUUUGGUUUUAUCCAAUUUCCACCCCGUCUCUCUCGCCUCUCUUCUAUUCUCUUCCCUCCUCGCACGCCCGCCAUCUCCCGAAACCCUAACUCCCCCUCCCUCGAUCCGACGCGGCCUUCGGCGCUCCCGCCCUAUCUUCGCGACCGGUUUGGUCGGAAGAAUUGGCUACGGCGCCACCUGAGGCGGUCUCUGACGCCCGACUUGGGGGAGGAUUGGCUCCGGCGGCCGGGGACGAUGAGCGCCCAGAAGAAGCGGAACUUUAAGAUCGAGGCCUUCAAGCACCGGGUCGAGGUCGAUCCCAAGUACGCCGAGAAGACCUGGAAGAUCUUGGAGCACGCGAUCCAUGAGAUAUAUAAUCACAACGCCAGCGGCCUCAGCUUCGAGGAACUCUAUAGGAAUGCUUACAAUAUGGUGCUGCACAAAUAUGGAGAAAAGCUGUACUCUGGCCUUGUAACCACUAUGACAUGGCACCUAAAAGAAAUAGCAAAAUCAAUAGAGGCUGCUCAGGGAGGUUUAUUUUUAGAGGAGCUCAACAGAAAAUGGGGGGAUCACAACAAGGCCUUGCAGAUGAUUCGGGACAUACUUAUGUACAUGGAUAGGACAUUUGUUCCGAGUAAUCGCAAGACACCUGUUCACGAGCUUGGACUUAACCUGUGGAAGGAUAACAUCAUUCACUCCCACAAGAUCCAGACGAGGUUGCUUGACACACUCCUUGACCUCAUACACAGAGAGCGGACAGGUGAAGUAAUAAACCGGGGGUUGAUGAGAAACAUUACAAAGAUGUUAAUGGACCUGGGAUCUUCGGUAUAUCAAGAAGAUUUUGAGAGACCAUUUUUAGAGGUCUCUGCUAGUUUUUACAGUGGUGAGUCCCAGCAAUUCAUCGAGUGCUGUGAUUGUGGUGAUUACCUUAAGAAAGCUGAGAGGCGGCUUAAUGAAGAGAUGGAGCGAGUUUCACACUACUUAGACGCUAAAAGCGAGGCAAAAAUAACAAGUGUAGUGGAGAAAGAGAUGAUCGCUAACCACAUGCAGAGGUUGGUCCACAUGGAGAAUUCUGGUCUUGUAAAUAUGCUUGUGGAUGACAAGUAUGAAGACUUAAGCAGAAUGUACAACUUGUUUCACCGAGUUCCUGGAGGGCUUUUGACGAUCAGAGAUGUGAUGACAUCUCACCUUCGAGAAACUGGGAAACAGUUGGUAAGUGAUCCAGAGAGAUUGAGGGAUCCUGUGGACUUUGUUCAACGCCUCUUGGAUAUGAAGGACAAACAUGAUAAGAUCAUCAGCAUUGCGUUUAACAAUGACAAGACCUUCCAGAAUGCUUUGAACUCAUCAUUUGAAUAUUUUAUUAAUCUAAAUAACAGGUCUCCUGAGUUUAUAUCCUUGUAUGUUGAUGAUAAGCUUCGUAAAGGUCUCAAGGGGGUCACUGAAGAGGAUGUAGAGGUGGUUUUGGACAAAGUGAUGAUGCUGUUUCGGUACCUGCAGGAGAAGGAUGUCUUUGAGAAAUAUUACAAGCAGCACUUGGCAAAAAGACUUCUUUCUGGGAAGACUGUUUCUGAUGAUGCGGAAAGAAGUAUGAUAGUCAAGCUCAAGACUGAAUGUGGGUAUCAGUUCACAUCUAAACUAGAAGGUAUGUUUACAGAUAUGAGGACAUCACAAGACACCAUGCAAGGUUUCUAUGCCAGUCAGUAUUCUGAGACAGGAGAUGGCCCUACUCUGGCUGUCCAAGUUCUCACCACUGGGUCUUGGCCGACGCAGCCCAGUGCCCCAUGCAACCUUCCAGCAGAAAUUCUUGGUGUGUGUGAGAAAUUUCGUGCAUAUUAUCUUGGAACUCAUACCGGACGGAGAUUGACAUGGCAAACAAAUAUGGGAACAGCAGAUAUAAAAGCAACCUUUGGGAAGGGUCAGAAGCAUGAGUUGAAUGUUUCUACUUACCAAAUGUGUGUCCUCAUGUUGUUCAAUUCUGCGGAUCGUUUAAGCUAUAGAGAAAUUGAGCAGGCAACAGAAAUACCGGCUUCUGAUCUGAAGCGUUGUCUUCAGUCUCUUGCUUGUGUCAAGGGUAAAAAUGUUCUCCGUAAGGAGCCCAUGAGUAAGGACAUUGCAGAGGAUGAUGCCUUCUACUUCAAUGAUAAGUUUACGAGCAAGUUUAUCAAGGUGAAGAUAGGGACAGUGGUGGCACAGAAGGAGUCAGAGCCAGAGAAGCACGAGACUCGCCAAAGAGUGGAGGAAGACAGAAAGCCUCAGAUUGAGGCAGCUAUUGUGAGAAUAAUGAAAUCUAGAAGGGUCUUAGAUCAUAACAGCAUUGUAACUGAGGUUACCACUCAAUUGCAGUCCCGUUUCCUGCCAAAUCCUGUUGUGAUAAAGAAACGAAUCGAAUCUCUCAUUGAGCGGGAGUUUUUAGAAAGGGACAAAGCAGACAGGAAACUGUAUCGCUAUCUUGCUUGAUUCUCGCAUGCAUGUCCUGUGGAUUGAGGCCCUACUUUUCAAUUAAAAUGCAUUUGAUGGAAAUCUUUGAUGCUUGGGACAUGGGAGGGCCAACAUUAAUUUCUUAAAGCUGAAUCAUAAUGUGUGCACAACCAUACUUCUUCGGCAAAAUCUGGGAGAGGAACGCACCUCCUUGCUCUCAGACUGGUUUCAUUGUAGCACUCUGCUUCAUCCCGCGGCAGUGGCGGUGGGGAUUUUAGAAGAGGGAACACUGUUCUCUUCUCAGUUGUCUUUGGUUAGAAGAGGGAACACUGUUCUCUUCUCAGUUGUCUUUGGAAAAUGUAAGUUAAUUUUUGGUGGGUUCUUUAUUAUCAGGUAAUGUUACUUGUCAUGAAGAAAAUCAUACCUUUCAUUUUGAUAUUUGUGAACAAUGAAAGAGUUAUCCCUGGCUAUAAGCUACACUGAUCUGUACGUAAUUGUGAGACUUACCUGCAUGUAGUGGGUGGUCAAACUACGGAGAGGACGCUGCAUUGUGGUUGCUUAUAUGUUUGAGCUUGUUCUUGUGAUCCGAGAUCCAUGGUCGCGUUAUGCCAGCCAUCGCUUUGGGGCAGCUUUCACUUGCCAAUGGAGCAUGCAGAGAGUUUUUGAGGGUGGGAAUAACAUUUCCCCUGCUGCUUUGUUGGAAGUAGAGAAAUAAUACAGGAGCUCAUGGAGAGUUGCAUUUUAAGAUUUUGAGUACCGCAAGAGACAUUGUUGCAGAGAUUGAAGGUACAGCUUGGUUUGAUCGGCACAUCUUAUUGCAGGAUAUGAUUGCCUAGCAAUAGAUCUCGGAAUGGCAUUGGUUUAUUCUAGGCUGACUAUUUUAUCUGAAGAUUUGGCUUCGGUGUUGAAAAUUAUGUUUCCUCCAUGGUAUCCCAAAUCUCGAAAAUUUAAUCUUGUAGGGAAUGUAAUCAUUGCGAUUCUAAUUUUAGUUAUGAAUUAAAUGCAUUCGAUUUUUAUUUCA